GAUGAACGCUGGCGGCGUGCCUAAUACAUGCAAGUCGAACGCAUUGUGGUUGAAAUGAUAUGAAGAACUUGUUCAGAUUUGAUUUUCAACAUUGCAAUGAGUGGCGAACGGGUGAGUAACACGUGGGAAACCUACCUCUUAGCAGGGGAUAACAUUUGGAAACAAUGCUAAUACCGUAUGAUAAUUAAAAACCGCAUGGUUUUAGUUUAAAAGAUGGUCUUGCUAUCACUAAGAGAUGGUCCCGCGGUGUAUUAGUUAGUUGGUGAGGUAAUGGCUCACCAAGACAAUGAUACAUAGCCGAAGUUGAGAGACUGACCGGCCACAAUGGGACUGAGACACGGCCCAUACUCCUACGGGAGGCAGCAGUAGGGAAUCUUCC
rnacentral:rRNA from 1 species